rnacentral:rRNA from 1 species
AUGAACGCUAGCUACAGGCUUAACACAUGCAAGUCGAGGGGCAUCAGUUUGGUUUGCUUGCAAACCAAAGCUGGCGACCGGCGCACGGGUGAGUAACACGUAUCCAACCUGCCUCAUACUCGGGGAUAGCCUUUCGAAAGAAAGAUUAAUAUCCGAUAGCAUAUAUUUCCCGCAUGGGUUUUAUAUUAAAGAAAUUCGGUAUGAGAUGGGGAUGCGUUCCAUUAGUUUGUUGGGGGGGUAACGGCCCACCAAGACUACGAUGGAUAGGGGUUCUGAGAGGAAGGUCCCCCACAUUGGAACUGAGACACGGUCCAAACUCCUACGGGAGGCAGCAGUGAGGAAUAUUGGUCAAUGGACGCGAGUCUGAACCAGCCAAGUAGCGUGAAGGAUGACUGCCCUAUGGGUUGUAAACUUCUUUUAUAUGGGAAUAAAGUGGUCCACGUGUGGACUUUUGUAUGUACCAUAUGAAUAAGGAUCGGCUAACUCCGUGCCAGCAGCCGCGGUAAUACGGAGGAUCCGAGCGUUAUCCGGAUUUAUUGGGUUUAAAGGGAGCGUAGGCGGAUUGUUAAGUCAGUUGUGAAAGUUUGCGGCUCAACCGUAAAAUUGCAGUUGAUACUGGCAGUCUUGAGUGCAGUAGAGGUGGGCGGAAUUCGUGGUGUAGCGGUGAAAUGCUUAGAUAUCACGAAGAACUCCGAUUGCGAAGGCAGCUCACUGGAGUGUAACUGACGCUGAUGCUCGAAAGUGUGGGUAUCAAACAGGAUUAGAUACCCUGGUAGUCCACACAGUAAACGAUGAAUACUCGCUGUUUGCGAUAUACAGUAAGCGGCCAAGCGAAAGCAUUAAGUAUUCCACCUGGGGAGUACGCCGGCAACGGUGAAACUCAAAGGAAUUGACGGGGGCCCGCACAAGCAGCGGAGCAUGUGGCUUAAUUCGAAGCAACGCGAAGAACCUUACCAAGUCUUGACAUCCUGUGACAGACGUAGAAAUACGUUCUUCCUUCGGGACACAGAGACAGGUGGUGCAUGGUUGUCGUCAGCUCGUGUCGUGAGAUGUUGGGUUAAGUCCCGCAACGAGCGCAACCCUUAUCUUCAGUUACUAACAGGUCAUGCUGAGGACUCUGGAGAGACUGCCGUCGUAAGAUGUGAGGAAGGUGGGGAUGACGUCAAAUCAGCACGGCCCUUACGUCCGGGGCUACACACGUGUUACAAUGGGGGGUACAGAAGGCCGCUACCUGGUGACAGGAUGCCAAUCCCAAAAACCUCUCUCAGUUCGGAUCGAAGUCUGCAACCCGACUUCGUGAAGCUGGAUUCGCUAGUAAUCGCGCAUCAGCCAUGGCGCGGUGAAUACGUUCCCGGGCCUUGUACACACCGCCCGUCAAGCCAUGAAAGCCGGGGGUACCUGAAGUACGUAACCGCAAGGAGCGUCCUAGGGUAAAACUGGUAAUUGGGGCU